GGUGCCUCGUUAAAACCUAGUUAGGUAGCAAAAACCCAGUGGGAAAAAUGCUCCUAAUCGUAGGGAAAAAAAGUACAUUAAGAUCAAGCAAGUAUCCAGAAGAUACUCCCCCUGAGUUUGACAUAAUUCCAAAAAGAAAUAGCAAAGUUACAACUCAGAAAGUUUACGCAUACCAAUUCCAUGAACAAGCUUCUGAAACGUCGC
rnacentral:lncRNA from 1 species